rnacentral:rRNA from 1 species
AAGGUUGUCGGCGGGUGGGUGGAUUAUCCGCUGUAAGCCAGGUAGACGUUGCCCCGUAGGCAAAUCCGCGGGGUUAGUCGAAAGGCGAUGCCGAAGGGACCGUAAGGUUCCGCAAAGGACGGCCGACGCACGCUGCCAAGAAAAGCUUCGCGAACCAGGAUGACUGUUGACCGUACCGUAAUCCGACACAGGUAGGCGAGGCGAGUAGCCUCAGGUGCUCGAGUGAUUUACGGAGAAGGAACUCGGCAAAAUGACCCCGUAACUUCGGGAUAAGGGGUGCCCUCGCAAGAGGGCCGCAGAGAAUCGUGUCAAGCGACUGUUUAACAAAAACACAGGUGUCUGCUAAGGCAUUUUCCAAGCCGACGUAUAGACACUGACGCCUGCCCGGUGCCGGAAGGUUAAGGCAAGUGGUCAGCCGCAAGGUGAAGCCAUGAACCGAAGCCCCGGUAAACGGCGGCCGUAACUAAAACGGUCCUAAGGUAGCGAAAUUCCUUGUCGGGUAAGUUCCGACCUGCACGAAUGGCGUAACGACUUGACAGCUGUCUCCUCCGUAAGCUCGGCGAAAUAGCAGUAUCGGUGAGGAUUCCGAUUACCCGCGACAGGACAAAAAGACCCCAUGCACCUUUACUACAACCUGUCAUUGAUUGUCGGUAUAAGCUGCGUAGCAUAGGUGGGAGCCGUUGAUCUCCAGGUUUCGGCUUGGAGGGAGGCAACAGUGAAAUACCACCCUUCUUUUACUAACAAUCUCACUCAGGCGGCAACACCGCCGAGGACCGUGACUGGUGGGUAGUUUGACUGGGGCGGUCGCCUCCCAAAAAGUACCGGAGGCGCGCAAUGGUACUCUCAGUGCGGUCGGUAAUCGCACGUCGAGUGUAUAAGCAAAAGAGUGCCUGACUGCGAGCGCGACAGCGCAAGCAGGGACGAAAGUCGGCUUAAGUGAUCCGGUGAUCCCGUGUGGACGGGUCAUCGCUCAUCGGAUAAAAGGUACGCUGGGGAUAACAGGCUUAUCGCGCCCGAGAGUUCACAUCGACGGCGCGGUUUGGCACCUCGAUGUCGGCUUGUCACAUCCUGGGGCUGGAGAAGGUCCCAAGGGUCCGGCUGUUCGCCGGUUAAAGUGGCACAUGAGCUGGGUUCAGAACGUCGUGAGACAGUUCGGUCUGUAUCCGUCGUGGGCGUGGGAGAGUUGAGGAACGUCGUCUCUAGUACGAGAGGACCGAGACGAAGUGACCGCUCGCGUACGGGCUGUUCCGCCAGGAGCAGCGCCCGGUAGCGAUGUCACGCGGAGAUAACCGCUGAAAGCAUCUAAGUGGGAAACUUUUCCCAAGAUUAACUCUCCUGGAGCUGAAGCUCCCUGAAGGGCCCAGGAAGACUACCUGGUUGAUAGGCGGCAGGUGCACGGAGAGCAAUCUCUUCAGCCGAGCCGUACUAAUCGCCCGUGAAGUUUGAUCUG